rnacentral:rRNA from 1 species
AGCGAACGCUGGCGGCAGGCCUAACACAUGCAAGUCGAACGAACUCUUCGGAGUUAGUGGCGGACGGGUGAGUAACACGUGGGAACGUGCCCUUAGGUUCGGAAUAACUCAGGGAAACUUGUGCUAAUACCGAAUGUGCCCUUCGGGGGAAAGAUUUAUCGCCUUUAGAGCGGCCCGCGUCUGAUUAGCUAGUUGGUGAGGUAAAGGCUCACCAAGGCGACGAUCAGUAGCUGGUCUGAGAGGAUGAUCAGCCACAUUGGGACUGAGACACGGCCCAAACUCCUACGGGAGGCAGCAGUAGGGAAUCUUGCGCAAGGGGCGAAAGCCUGACGCAGCCAUGCCGCGUGAAUGAUGAAGGUCUUAGGAUUGUAAAAUUCUUUCACCGGGGACGAUAAUGACGGUACCCGGAGAAGAAGCCCCGGCUAACUUCGUG